rnacentral:rRNA from 1 species
GACGAACCGUGCGAACGUUGUUCGGAAUCACUGGGCUUAAAGCGCACGUAGGCGGAUUGUUAAGUCAGGGGUGAAAUCCUGGAGCUCAACUCCAGAACUGCCUUUGAUACUGACGGUCUUGAGUUCGGGAGAGGUGAGUGGAACUGCGAGUGUAGAGGUGAAAUUCGUAGAUAUUCGCAAGAACACCAGUGGCGAAGGCGGCUCACUGGCCCGGUACUGACGCUGAGGUGCGAAAGCGUGGGGAGCAAACAGG